rnacentral:lncRNA from 1 species
UGAAAUGAAGAAUUUUGGCGGAGGAGAUCGUUUACCAGUGCGAUUAAAUCGCAGAAAAAUAAGAAAACAAAAUGGGAAAAAUUGAAUUGUAUGUCAGCCGUAUGAAUGCCCAAUGAGAUGGUACUAACGGCUACAUCUACUUGACCGCAUGCUACAUCAACUGUUAAAGAAUUCAGGAAACCUGCCUGAUGCAGGUGUAGGAAACCAACGGCUGGGACUUUGGAUAUCUCUGCCUAAUUAAGAAAUUAACUAUGAUGUAAUAACUUUGUACUAUAGGAAGAAGCCCAGUUUGUUUAGUCUUUGUUUUUUCAUGUCUUGCUCCGGUUUCAUUAUUUGUUAAUUAAUCCACAACAAGAAAGUUCUUUACGUACUAAGGCCCCGUUUGGUAGGGCUUCUCAAAGUGCUUCUCCACCGGUUUUUGAUGAAGCCCUACCAAAGGGUCAAUUUCAAAACGGCUUCACCACCAAAGCCGAGGAGAAGCCGCAAAACGGCUUACACUAGAGAGGAGAAGCCGAAAAAAGUGGCUUCACCGGCUUCUCCUCUCUCUCCAAGCAUUAAGUGAUCAUAAAAUUAUAUAUAUUGACAUUGAGAAGCCGUUUUACCAAACGUUUUGCAAAACGGCUUCAGCUUCACUAAAAAAGCCACUCCACUGAAGAAGCCGAAGCCGAAGCCGUUUUAUGAUAAGCCGAAGCUCUACCAAACGGGGCCUAAAUAGUAUGCCUCGACUUUUU